rnacentral:rRNA from 1 species
GUCCACGCCGUAAACGAUGAUAACUAGCUGUCCGGGCACUUGGUGCUUGGGUGGCGCAGCUAACGCAUUAAGUUAUCCGCCUGGGGAGUACGGCCGCAAGGUUAAAACUCAAAGAAAUUGACGGGGGCCUGCACAAGCGGUGGAGCAUGUGGUUUAAUUCGAAGCAACGCGCAGAACCUUACCAACGUUUGACAUCCCCAGUAUGGAUAUUGGAGACAGUAUCCUUCAGUUCGGCUGGCUGGGUGACAGGUGCUGCAUGGCUGUCGU